CAGGAUGUAGCUUAUAUAAAGUUUGCUAUUUACAUUUGUAAGAAGAUUUUUUUUAUCCUUUCUGA
rnacentral:tRNA from 1 species